GACGAACGCUGGCGGCGUGCCUAAUACAUGCAAGUUGAACGAAGUUGCUUUAACUGGUGCUUGCACCGACUUAAACAACUGAGUGGCGAACGGGUGAGUAACACGUGGGUAACCUGCCCCAAAGUGGGGGAUAACAUUUGGAAACAGAUGCUAAUACCGCAUAACCACAGAAACCUCAUGGUUUCUGUGUCAAAGAUGGUUUCGGUUAUCACUUUGGGAUGGACCCGCGGCGUAUUAGCUAGUUGG
rnacentral:rRNA from 1 species